CUACGGGGUCGUUUUGCUCGU
rnacentral:miRNA from 1 species